AUGUUUAUGUGUGUAUUUAUGUCUUGUAUUGCUGGUAAGUAACUUUCUUGCACUGAGGUCUGUUUGUUGCAAAUAUCUUUGACUUGUUUUUAUGUCUUAUAAUGUUUAUGUGUGUAUUUAUGUCUUGUAUUGCUGGUAAGUAACUUUCUUGCACUGAGGUCUGUUUGUUGCAAAUAUCUUUGACUUGUUUUUAUGUCUUAUAAUGUUUAUGUGUGUAUUUAUGUCUUGUAUUGCUGGUAAGUAACUUUCUUGCACUGAGGUCUGUUUGUUGCAAAUAUCUUUGACCUGUUUUUAUGUCUUAUAAUGUUUAUAUUUGUAUUUAUGUCUUGUAUUGCUGGUAAGUAACUUUCUUGCACUGAGGUCUGUUUGUUGCAAAUAUCUUUGACUUGUUUUUAUGUCUUGUAAUGUUUAUGUGUGUAUUUAUGUCUUGUAUUGCUGGUAAGUAACUUUCUUGCACUGAGGUCUGUUUGUUGCAAAUAUCUUUGACCUGUUUUUAUGUCUUAUAAUGUUUAUAUUUGUACUUAUGUCUUGUAUUGCUGGUAAGUAACUUUCUUGCACUGAGGUCUGUUUGUUGCAAAUAUCUUUGACUUGCUUUUAUGUUUUAUAAUGUUUAUGUGUGUAUUUAUGUCUUGUAUUGCUGGUAAGUAACUUUCUUGCACUGAGGUCUGUUUAUUGCAAAUAUCUUUGACUUGUUUUUAUGUCUUAUAAUGUUUAUGUCUGUAUGUAUGUCUUCAAUUGCUGUUAAGUAACUUUCUUGCACUGAGGUCUGUUUAUUGCAAAUAUCUUUGACCUGUUUUUAUGUCUUAUAAUGUUUAUAUUUGUACUUAUGUCUUGUAUUGCUGGUAAGUAACUUUCUUGCACUGAGGUCUGUUUGUUGCAAAUAUCUUUGACUUGUUUUUAUGUCUUGUAAUGUUUAUGUGUGUAUUUAUGUCUUGUAUUGCUGGUAAGUAACUUUCUUGCACUGAGGUCUGUUUGUUGCAAAUAUCUUUGACUUGUUUUUAUGUCUUGUAAUGUUUAUGUGUGUAUUUAUGUCUUGUAUUGCUGGUAAGUAACUUUCUUGCACUGAGUUUUUUUUGUUGCAAAUAUCUUUGAUUUGUUUUUAUGUCUUAUCAUGUUUAUAUGUGUAUUUAUGUCUUGUAUUGCUGGUAAGUAACUUUAUUGCACUGAGUUUUGUUUGUUGCAAAUAUCUUUGACUUGUUUUUACGUCUUGUAAUGUUUAUGUGUGUAUGUAUGUCUUGUAUUGCUAAUUGUUAGGAACCCUAACUUUAUUUAUUUUUUUAAUAGUAGGAUGUAUGUAUGUAUGUGUGUGUGUGU
ensembl:lncRNA